CCUACGGGGGGCAGCAGUGGGGAAUAUUGCACAAUGGGGGAAACCCUGAUGCAGCGACGCCGCGUGAGUGAAGAAGUAUUUCGGUAUGUAAAGCUCUAUCAGCAGGGAAGAAAAUGACGGUAACUGAUUAAGAAGCCCCGGCUAAUUACGUGCCAGCAGCCGCGGGAAUACGUAGGGGGCAAGCGUUAUCCGGAUUUACUGGGUGUAAAGGGAGCGUAGACGGCAGCACAAGUCUGGAGUGAAAUGCCGGGGCUUAACCCCGGAAGUGCUUUGGAAACUGUGCAGCUAGAGUGCAGGAGAGGUAAGUGGAAUUCCUAGUGUAGCGGUGAAAUGCGUAGAUAUUAGGAGGAACACCAGUGGCGAUGGCGGCUUACUGGACUGUAACUGACGUUGAGGCUCGAAAGCGUGGGGAGCAAACAGGAUUAGAUACCCUAGUAGUC
rnacentral:rRNA from 1 species